CCAACCAUGAUCACAUUGAAUGGCACGUGAAGCUAGGUGGCUACUCUCCUCUGCACAAGGCAAUAUACCUGGAAGAUACUUGAGGUGAUGCCAAAAGGAGACGUGACCAGGAAAUCGUCCCCUUCUGUGUGUCUCCAAUUUUUGAGUUUCUGCUGUUGGGUGAUUUGGCUUCUUAAUAUUGCAGGGAACUCAAUCAAACUUCACGUCUGCUGAGAAAAUCUACCUCAAUAACAAAGACAAAUUUGCCAUUUUAUAGAGAGAAUAAAGCUUCCAAACCCAUGGGCUAUAACAUCCGGAAAGAUAAAGAACAGCAAAUACAUGGGAAUAUCCCACCUGCACAUUCUCCUCCAAGC